rnacentral:rRNA from 1 species
UACGUAGGUGGCAAGCGUUGUCCGGAAUUAUUGGGCGUAAAGCGCGCGCAGGCGGUCUUUUAAGUCUGAUGUGAAAGCCCACGGCUCAACCGUGGAGGGUCAUUGGAAACUGGGAGACUUGAGUGCAGAAGAGAAGAGUGGAAUUCCACGUGUAGCGGUGAAAUGCGUAGAGAUGUGGAGGAACACCAGUGGCGAAGGCGACUCUUUGGUCUGUAACUGACGCUGAGGCGCGAAAGCGUUGGGGAGCAAACAGG